rfam:Salmo salar isolate Sally breed double haploid chromosome ssa01, whole genome shotgun sequence.
UGCACGCAUGACUGUAAGUUGCUUGUGGAUAAAAGCGUCUGCUAAAUGACUAAUA